GAUUAAGCCAUGCAUGUGUAAGUAUAAAUAGUUAACUUUGAAACUGCGAAUGGCUCAUUAUAUCAGUUAUAGUUUAUUUGAUGAAGAAUACUAAUUAGAUAACCGUAGUAAUUCUAGAGCUAAUACAUGUAUAAAGUCUUGUAGACUGCAUUUAUUAGAAUGAAAACCAUAGGUUUCGGCCUAUUCGUGAGUAAUAAUAACUAAUCAUAUCGUAUGCUUAUGUAACGAUGUGUCUUUCAAGUUUCUGCCCUAUCAGCUUUCGAUGGUAGUGUAUUGGACUACCAUG
rnacentral:rRNA from 1 species